rnacentral:lncRNA from 1 species
AAAGAGGUUUUUGUCUUUAGGAGGGCAAGCACAAUAAGAAAGAUCGAGAGAAAGAUCAUGUCCACUAGGAUAGGCUGAGGAGUCAGGUCUUGCUUGAGGAUGUGUAAUGCCAUGUUUGAUGCAUGUGCAUUUUUGUUGGUAUUAUGGAUGUUGACUGAUCCCUUAGUCCUCGAUAUGCUAUGUUAUGAUAUCAGAUGAGUUGAGAGACCAGGUAUGGCCUUUGGCACAGUUGGUCAUGGCAUGUUAUGCUAGAUUGAGGGCUAUUGGUGACAGGAUCAUCCCUGAUAUCUGUUUGAGAGUUCAUGUGGUUGCGACAUGGACCCUAUGUUAGGCUGCUUUUCAUGUGUUUUGUGUUUUGUUCACCUGAUGUGAAGCUGAUGUGUGCUUGUGUGCCUGUUGUGUUUCAGAAGAGUGAGGAUGCAAGGUGCGAGUCAAUUUGUGGAGUCAGAUCCAUCUGAGUGGGAAGGUACAGACAC